UUCAAGCAGGACAUGCAACCAGCCAUGUGACCACACGGAAUGCAGGCACCUUCCACAGGAGCAUCCAAACAAAUAACACAGGUUCCCGGUGGAGUGUUACCGCUGUUGCUUGCAUUAGCAUCACUUUCUGCAGGUUUUGCAUCACCUUCGUUCUCUGCAGGUUUUGCAGAGCUUACCGCUGUACCACCGUCAGCAGAAGGCAUGGUUACGUCGACUGGCGUGGAAUCUAUUGACGGAUACUGAAUAGGACCAUCGUAGAAGGUUCCCACGGCAAGUGGAGGCGCAGUUGGGACUGGAAGAGAUGGAAGCGCCUCCUGCGGAACCACGAAAGUGCUGUUCUGGCUUUUGUUGUGUUUGGACGAACUUUGGCCAGAGCUUGUUCCAGGCACGUCCCACCCAUUGUAUGUGCUACUGCUUGAUGUAACAACUGGUACUUGGCCACUUGUCUUUGAAGGCGCAGAAGUAUCUGGUGGGCCCCAUCCAUUGAGGGAGUUGCUUGGAGGGUUUCCCCAAUCAUUGGUCGCAGUAGUCGUUGUUAUUGGCUGAACAUCGGGCACUCCCUCGGCUAUAGCUGACAGGAUGGAGGCAUUGAUGGCCAUUGCUAACUCAGCAUCCUCCUUGCUGGGUGUGGAUAUCACUGAAGGUAAUGAUGAUGCUGAUGAUGGAUUUGGCAGUGGGGCAUUCGCUGGUUGAGCAGGAACCAUGCUGGCAACCUAAAACAAAGAGGUUCAGAAAAAUGCAGCAUUUUUUCCUCUGUACAAAAUGAUGAUUUACUAUUGACUAAUCAAAGUUAAGUUCAUAUUGAUAAAAGAAUCAGACAUCAACUUAACUAUAACCAAUAAUUGAUACAACCAUUAACUGAUGAUAUUUGAUAUAUAACCAAAUCAUGCUCUAGGGCGUAGAGAUUUCUGCUAAAUUCAGCAAUAGGAGAAAGGUUUGCUAUUCAAAUGACCAUUCAGAAUAUACUACUAUUAGAGCCAAACAGGUAAGGAAAAUAUUCCAUAAAGUAAGGUUUGUCACCUGUGGAAUGCCACAACAUGCACUAUAAAACCAUUGAAGCUGCUGUUUGUCACCUUCACACACCGGUAGAAGCUUGUAUCGAGUUCCUGUGCAAAAUAUUUCAAAGAAAAUUAGAAGAUGAUAGAUACAUCUUAAUCAGACCACAAGUUAGCAAAUAUUCCCAUGUUUAAUCUAACUAUGAAGUACAGAUCACAGUUCACAAAUGUAACUCAAGAAACAAUGUAUGCAUUUUGCAGAAAGAGCAAAAGGAUACGCUAUUCCAGGAAUAAAAAAAAUCUUACACAAUGAAUUGAAUUUAGUACGGUAAGUCUGGGACCAUUUGUGUAAAUGUGUAUGAUAAUACAAAUUACCCUAUUUUUCAUCAGCAUAAGGCCACACGUGGCAAAAAGACAAGGGAAACAAUACAAUGAAAAAAAAACUUCAACUACUGGUACUACUUGCAUCACAAUUAAGGACCCCUUAUGCAGAUUCAUACAAAAUAUAUGGCGUUCGAUGUAUUUAUGCUUUGUCCAUAGGGUGCAGAGGGGAAAAUACUGACGAAAGAAUUCUUAAUGUGUACUUUCCUUCUCAUUUAUCCAUUUUCACCUUUCAUGAUUCUCUUCUUUUUUUUUAAGUACUGAGUACUCUAUUGAAAAUUGAACAGUACAGAAAAUCAGUUUUUACUUGAACCUAUGUAUGUGGUAUUACUAUUUGUUUCCUAUAGGCCCUAUAGGCCAACAUGUAUAAACAGCCAUGGGAUCUUCAGACAGAAUAACAUUUACCUAAGCUUGAACAUCCUAGCUGGAAAUCUGGAAUGUGCUAAACAUACCAAUAUUUUUCACAUGUGAAGAGCUCAUGAAAUGUGAGAAGGAAGUUGACAACAUGCAACUUUUAUGUUUUAGGACACAAACAGAUGUUUUUUAUCAAAUUAUAUCUGACACCUGAGAAGGGCAUAAUCAAAGUUGCAUGAAAAUUAUAAAAUGUUUAAAAGCUGAUAAAGAAUUUAGGUGCCAAAACAAACAAGCAUUUAGAAUAUGCACAAACAUGACUGAAAACUGAAAUAGACAUACUUGUUCCCUUGUCGAAAAUUGUCACAGAAGGAUUGGCCUGAUUAAACUUUGGUUCCUCAAGUUGACAUUUCCAAAGUUUAAUUACAGCUUGUGGUUUAGAAGCCUGAUUGAUCAUAAAACAGAAAUGUUAACACAUAACAAUCAAUCUAAUACCAUAUAGCUAUAGAAAAUGCUAAAAUAAUUCAAUUUUAAUACUUAAAAGAACAGAGAGAACAGAAAUACUGUUUAUAUUACUGCAGUAAACAAAACUCUAAUUUAAGAUUUUUAACAAAACCAAUUGUAUGAUGUCCUUAACUAAUCUAAGUUUGCAUCUAUGUUUGUACUGCAGCAAGAAGAAAUGACAUGUUUAUAAUUAUGACACGGAAGGUAUACAUCUGUGGCUGUGCUACACAAAUUGGUAAUAUUGGUCACCCUGUACCUUUGAUCUUUGAGAUACCAAGUACAUUUACCGCCAUACCGACAGCAGGUGGUAAGUUAAAGAAUUAAAUAAAGAGGAAAUGAUUUAAGUGGUUAGUUGUGAAAAAAAAAACUCAGAAGUACAGGGAGGGCAAGUGGGAAGUUAAAUAAUGUUCAAUAAAUUAAAUAAAGAGGAAAUAAAUUAAGUGGAUAGUUGCCAAAGAAAAAAAUUCAGAAGUACAGGGAGCUUGCCAUUUCCUGUGCAGACUUUUUCCUUUUAGAGAAUAUAAAUAAGUAAAGCACGCACUACAAACGCAGGAGAAGUCACUAAUCCAUUACUAAUAAUCUCAUCUUAGUAAGAACAAGACACAAGAGUCCAUUGAUAUGCCACAUAUAAUUUACUACAUUAGACCUAAGCAAAUGAGCAUUGACACAGACUUUCAGUUUGGUACCUGCAAUUCAGGGUAUAUCGUCAGCUCAAGCUUGAGUGGCCGAGUUUGAUUUCGUGCUUCACGGGGUAAAAUCACCGCCCAACUGAGAAGACAUUUAAGCAUGGGUUAAGAACUCAUAAAAUAUGCUGAGAAAUAAUCCUGACAUAUAUGAGCACUUUGAUACAUAUGUAAGGUAAUACUGUAGACUAUAGAAAAUUAUGCAAAGGUCGAAGAAAGUGUUACAUUUUCCUAGUCAGGAAUUGUGGAGCAAAUGCUUCCAAAAAUCCAGGACCAUAGUUCUCCCUCAUCCAUCCACAAAAAAGAGAAAUACGUCCCUAAAAGUAAUUAAUGAACAUAAAGCAAAUAAUAGAAAUGAGUCAUGACUACACUAAUGCGAAGCCAAAUGUUAAAAGGAAAAAAACAUACCUCUAUGGCUCGUACGACAUUCACAUGACCCUUUUCUCUAGCCAAAUCAAGUGCCGUGUGGCAAUCAUCAUUUGUUAUAAACGGAUUAGCUGCAAGAAUACAGCAAAAGAUGUCAUUGUUGUAGAACUAUCACAGGGCAGAAAAAUAGUAUGUUGAAUAUACACAAUUGUACCUCCAUGAGAUAGAAGCAAAUGGACAGUCUGCUCAAGACCUUUCUUGGCAGCAUGGUGCAAUGCAGUCCCACAAUAUGACCCUGCAGAAUAAAAGAAGUUAUUAGAUGUGAUAAAAAUAUAACUCAUAGUGGCCUACUGGCUUUCCCUCUUCAUGUAAGCACAUAUUCAGGGAUGAACCCAAAGAGUUAUGGAAGUGCAACAAAGGGCACUAAAUCUCGUUUAAACUGAAUUCUAGUAGAAAAUAAAUUCCUAUACUCCGAUAAAGACAUGUGUCGAAAUCAGGGGAUAUUUGGUCAUCUGAAUUCUGCUAAAAAAAUGGGGGCAAAAAAUAACACAUGGAAAUUGACAUGCAUUUAAGAAUACUAUCGGAUUUGGGUGUCUAACUUGGAAAAAAAAUAAUUUGUACAGAGGUGCCAAGCCCUUUGUUGAUAUAAGUUAUAGAGUAUUUUGACCAUGAAGAAUGAUUAAGAUGCUAACUGUUUUAGAAGAUAUAGCAUGAGUAGUUAGUAUGUGCAUGAGAGCUGAGACUGAGGGAGAAAACACAAAUAGGAAAUAUCAUAGGAAAACCUACUUAAAUUUACAUCCAAACCUCUACCAACAAAACUUCUGAAACUAUGUUCAAUAUUAAUCAAUGGAGGGAAUUACUAAGAAAAAUCACAUUCAAUGGCUCUCCCUGCAUGUUGGUAUGGGAAGCAUUGGCAUGGAAGCAAACGGAAACACAUCCAACUCUUCUUUCAUGAUGGCACGAUGUGUAUCAAUCCUGGGAUACUGCGGCUCCACUCAUUUGGUUUCAUGCACCACCGUCUAAAUGCCAGAACUAUAACAAAUGCAAGCUAAAGCAAAAUCAUUUUCUAUUUGCCCACAAACACCCUCGCUCUCUAUUUGAAUUAGAAGGUUCAGUACUAAUCGACGUUAAGGUGCCACUUCAUACUGCAAAUUUCUACACAACACCCAGGCAGUCUACAAAUUAAUUCACUUCAAAGCAGCCCAAUAACUGGAUUUCAGCUAAUACAACAAAUUAAACUAAAAACAACGAACUAAGGAUCUCCAAUCUGCAGAAUUUGGACAGACCAUCUUUUUAUCUAUAACACAGGGGACGAAGAACAGUGCUGAUAUAAGUUGAAUCAGGGCAGUGCUAAUACCAGGACGGUAGGCGUUCACAUUUGCACCCAAUUCAAUCAGCACCUGAACCACAUUGAUCAGAUCAGGCCGCAUGCUCGCGACCAUCAGGG
rnacentral:lncRNA from 1 species